GAUGAAGAACGCAGCGAAAUGCGAUACGUAAUGUGAAUUGCAGAAUUCAGUGAAUCAUCGAAUCUUUGAACGCACAUUGCGCCCGCCAGCACUCUGGCGGGCAUGCCUGUUCGAGCGUCAUUUCAACCAUCAAGCCCCAGGCUUGCGUUGGAGCCCUGCGGCUGCCGCAGCCUCCUAAAAGCAGUGGCGGGCUCGCUAUCACACCGAGUGCAGUAGAUUACUCUUCGCUCAGGGCGUGCAGCGGGUUCCGGCCGUGAAACCCCCUACUUUUAAAGGUUGACCUCGGAUCAGGUAGGAACACCCGCUGAACUUAAGCAUAUCAAUAAGCGGAGGA
rnacentral:misc_RNA from 1 species